rnacentral:rRNA from 1 species
GCUCAACCGAGGAAGUGCUUCGAAAACUGGUAAACUUGAGUGCAGAAGAGGAAAGUGAACUCCAUGUGUAGCGGUGGAAUGCGUAGAUAUAUGGAAGAACACCAGUGGCGAAGGCGGCUUUCUGGUCUGUAACUGACGCUGAGAUUCGAAAGCAUGGGUAGCAAACAGGAUUAGAUACCCUGGUAGUCCAUGCCGUAAACGAUGAGUGCUAAGUGUUGGAGGGUUUCCGCCCUUCAGUGCUGCAGCUAACGCAUUAAGCACUCCGCCUGGGGAGUACGAUCGCAAGAUUGAAACUCAAAGGAAUUGACGGGGGCCCGCACAAGCGGUGGAGCAUGUGGUUUAAUUCGAAGCAACGCGAAGAACCUUACCAGGUCUUGACAUACCAUGAAAAGCUCAGAGAUGAGUCUUUCCCUUCGGGGACAUGGAUACAGGUGGUGCAUGGUUGUCGUCAGCUCGUGUCGUGAGAUGUUGGGUUAAGUCCCGCAACGAGCGCAACCCUUAUUAUCAGUUGCCAGCAUUUAGUUGGGCACUCUGGUGAGACUGCCGGUGAUAAACCGGAGGAAGGUGGGGACGACGUCAAAUCAUCAUGCCCCUUAUGACCUGGGCUACACACGUGCUACAAUGGUCGGUACAACG